CCUACGGGAGGCAGCAGUAGGGAAUAUUGCUCAAUGGGGGAAACCCUGAAGCAGCAACGCCGCGUGGAGGAUGAAGGUUUUCGGAUUGUAAACUCCUUUUGUUAGAGAAGAUAAUGACGGUAUCUAACGAAUAAGCACCGGCUAACUCCGUGCCAGCAGCCGCGGUAAUACGGAGGGUGCAAGCGUUACCCGGAAUCACUGGGCGUAAAGAGCGCGUAGGCGGGAUAGCAAGUCAGAUGUGAAAUCCUAUGGCUUAACCAUAGAACUGCAUUUGAAACUGUUAUUCUAGAGUAUGGGAGAGGUAGGUGGAAUUCUUGGUGUAGGGGUGAAAUCCGUAGAGAUCGAGAGGAAUACUCAUUGCGAAGGCGACCUGCUAGAACAUAACUGACGCUGAUGCGCGAAAGCGUGGGGAGCGAACAGGAUUAGAUACCCUUGUAGUG
rnacentral:rRNA from 1 species